rnacentral:rRNA from 1 species
GAUGAACGCUGGCGGCGUGCUUAACACAUGCAAGUCGAACGAAGCACUUUAUUUGAUUUCCUUCGGGACUGAUUAUUUUGUGACUGAGUGGCGGACGGGUGAGUAACGCGUGGGGAACCUGCCUUGUACAGGGGGAUAACAGUUGGAAACGGCUGCUAAUACCGCAUAAGCGCACGGCAUCGCAUGAUGCAGUGUGAAAAACUCCGGUGGUAUAAGAUGGACCCGCGUUGGAUUAGCUAGUUGGUGAGGUAACGGCCCACCAAGGCGACGAUCCAUAGCCGACCUGAGAGGGUGACCGGCCACAUUGGGACUGAGACACGGCCCAAACUCCUACGGGAGGCAGCAGUGGGGAAUAUUGCACAAUGGGCGAAAGCCUGAUGCAGCGACGCCGCGUGAGCGAAGAAGUAUUUCGGUAUGUAAAGCUCUAUCAGCAGGGAAGAUAAUGACGGUACCUGACUAAGAAGCACCGGCUAAAUACGUG